UUGCAGGAGAUCCGCGUCUGUAUUACCCAGGAUGUGGCUCCUUUCCUGUGAUGCCCUGUCUGGUAUCAGAGGGAUGUUAGCCUUGAGAAAGGGUUCUUCAGUUCUCUUGGAAUUUCUGCACGAGUUUGCGUGGAGCUGGCAUCAUCUCUUUAAAUGUCUGCUGGAAUUUCUCGUGACGCCAUCUGGGUAUGCCGUUCUCCUUCUUGGAGGGUUUUCAGCUUAGAGUCCUUUCUCUAAUGUCUCCAGGGUCGUGUCUGCGGGUGCCGGUCACCCUCGUCUUUCUCUGAGAAGGACACGAGUCACGAGAUGUAAGGCUGCUUUCGAUACAGGACAACUCACUUGAGGUCUGACUUUAAUUACCUCGGCAAAGGCAGUUUCCCAGUAAGUUCACGCAGUUUCCACAGGUCCUGGGGGCGGGACUUGGACAUGUCUUUUUGUGGGGACAUAGUCCAGCCCACUGCAGCCAGCUAAUCUGGGCAACUUGGGCAAAAUCCACGAAUAGGUGCGGAAGGUAAGAUACAGCCGUGUUGCCUCCAUGUGGCCUCUCUGGCCGCCCCUCCAUCACCCCGUCCUGGUCAGGGCUCAGGGCUCCCUGCCUGCUGGGCUGGGGGUUAUCACCUCCGUGGCAGCGGCUCCGACAAACCCAGGUCCCAAAGGAUGGCGAGGAAGCCACGCCUCCAGUGCUGGGAGGCUCCCCUCGGGUCCCAGAGUCCCUGCGCCUGGGCGGGCAAGUUCCCCGCUCUCCUUCUCAUAUUCGCCUGGUGUUAUAGGGAAGUUUGCCGUAGGCUUCUCACCAUGAAAUGCCCGGGAACCAGUUCUCUGCAGAGAUGCUCGUGGUGAGCCGUGGGGCAGGGGCUGCCGGCCGGUUCUUCCAGGACCCCAGCCCGGGCCCAGUGGGGGGACAGCGGCCCAAGUGGCAGAGGGGACGGCGGUGAAGGCGUUUCUAGGCUGUGAAGUGUCGCCGAAAGCCACUUUGUGCUUAUCCAACCCGUCCAAGUCCAAGGCUGAUAAAUGCCGGCCGGUCGCGACGGCUCGCACACAUCCUGCCUUGUCCAGUGAGCUGGGAGGAGUCCUUGCCCCUGCGCUCAGCUGAGCGUCGCGGUCCACAGUCCAGGACAGAAACACAGUCCAGGACACAGGGCCCUUACCUUGGUGGCUCCUUAGGGAAGUCACGGCUCUCUGGGCGUUGCGCAGGCCCCGGGUGCUGGGCGCGCUGCUUCCCUGGUGCACAGGUCCCAGCACACGUGGGGCAGGGCUGGCUUCCGGUUGGACGCCCUUCCGAGCCCUCCCCUUCCCGGGCCGGGCCUAGCGCGGGACGUACCCACGGAGUCUCGGUUGCAGGCGUCCAGCUCCCUCCAGGGCUGCGGCCGGAGCCAGGCUGCCUGGAGGGGUCUGACUGGCAUCGCUGCCCCGCCUGUGUUGGUCUGGUGCCCUCGGCACCUCUGGCACCAGGGUGAGGGCAGGGUUCCCAGAACCAACCAUCCGGAGGCGGCAGCGCUGUGAGCGGGACAGUGGAAGCCUCCCCGUGGGUGUCCCCGUGCCCCUCUGCCUCCCGCAGCCACUCCUGCUCUGCACAGCCACUGUCCGCGGCGCCUGGCCACUCAGGGGCCUCUCCCUGCCGACCCCUCUGCUGCUCAACUUCCUCCGCGGCCUCCCAGGUGCCCCGGAGUCUCCGUCCCCCCGCUUGGCAGGUGCUCCCACACCCCCACCGCCGCGGCGCCUUCUCCCGGCCCCCUCUCCUCUCCUGGCCUCUCUUCCCCACCCGCCUCUCCCCUCGGGCCAAGCAGGGUCAUUUCGCUGAGGGAAACACUGAGGCUCUGAUGGCGGCCAAGACCCGAGCCAGGACCAGUGAAGGCCACAGGCUGUUUCCAGGUGUCUUUCCUCCUGCUCGUGUGUGUCGCCAUGGGCGCUGCCCUGUGGUCCCCAUCUCUGCAGGGGCUUCCAGAGAGAGGUCCUGUUUUUACAGCCCUGGAGUCCAGAUAAGGCCACUUUCCUCAAAGAUACCGGCCUUUGAGACGCUUCCUAAGGACCCGGACUCUUGACAGGGUCCUGUGUUUUCCUGGGACUGUCGACUGUCAUUCCGUUUUCAGGUGUCCCGCUGAGACGCCGCCGGCCGCCGGAAGCCCCUUUGACGGAGAUGCAGGUUUACAGGGAUUUCGAGUCUGGCCUCCCUUAGCAGUGUCACCUGCUCCGUUUCCUUUGGCCUGAAGAAGAUGAUGCUCCGUGUGGAACACAAGCUGAGACGCGGCUCUUCCAUGGGCCUCUGUGCAAACGAAACAGAUUCUGAAACUCAGGCACAGCUUCUUCACACUUUGGGUUUGCAGAACAAAUGUUUGCAUGUAAUUUUGCUUCCUAAAAUGUCAAGAAAAGCACAAAUAUGAAAACAUGUUCUCAAAGGAGUGAUCUUUUAUGAAAAAAAAAUUGCUUACAGUAUUUCUUUCCAGUUGGCUUUGAGAAAUACUGUGUCAAAUUAUUUUCACAAAGUUGCAAAGAGAUUCUUCACUCUUCUGAAGAGGGGUGUCUUCCAGAAGGAGGAGAUUCACCUUGAGGAGGGGGCCCGAAGUCAGGCCACAUCCAGCCUCACCUCCUUAGUGACAGAACAGGUGUGUUUCAGAGGGAAGCACGGCCACCCAGGAUAAAGACUGCACUUCUCAGCCCACCUGCCUGUUUGCUGUGGUCACAUGAUCAAGUUCUGGCAGCAAAUGGAACCCCAGCACAAGGUUUGUGGAACUUCUGGGAAGUGCCCUUAAGGAGAGGGUGCCUUCCUACCGGCUGGAAGGUGAAUGUAAUGGCCGGAGCUACGGCAUCCAUAUUGAGCCAUGAAACAACAUUUGGGAAUGGCAGGCAUGGUAGCAGAGCAAGCAGAGAGAAGAGCCUGAGAAGGACCACGUGGAGGGCGCUCCCGACCCCGAGUCGCUGCCACUGGCCUUCAGGAUGGUGAGAAGAAGUAACCUUCUAUCUUUAAGUUGUAUUGUUCUGGGUCUUUUUGUUACUCGCAAGUGAACUUAAUCCUAAUGAAUAUACAGGCCACUGGGGAUGCUUGGAUUGAAAAAAGCCCAAG
rnacentral:lncRNA from 1 species